rnacentral:misc_RNA from 1 species
GAUGAAGAACGUAGCAAAAUGCGAUAAGUAGUGUGAAUUGCAGAAUUCAGUGAAUCAUCGAAUCUUUGAACGCACAUUGCGCCCCCUGGUAUUCCGGGGGGCAUGCCUGUUCGAGCGUCAUUUCACCACUCAAGCCUCGCUUGGUAUUGGGCAACGCGGUCCGCCGCGUGCCUCAAAUCGACCGGCUGGGUCUUCUGUCCCCUAAGCGUUGUGGAAACUAUUCGCUAAAGGGUGUUCGGGAGGCUACGCCGUAAAACAACCCCAUUUCUAAGGUUGACCUCGGAUCAGGUAGGGAUACCCGCUGAACUUAAGCAUAUCAAUAAGCGGAGGA